UGGCGGCGUGGUUAAGACAUGCAAGUCGAACGAGAGAAUUGCUAGCUUGCUAAUAAUUCUCUAGUGGCGCACGGGUGAGUAACACGUGAGUAACCUGCCCCCGAGAGCGGGAUAGCCCUGGGAAACUGGGAUUAAUACCGCAUAGUAUCGAAAGAUUAAAGCAGCAAUGCGCUUGGGGAUGGGCUCGCGGCCUAUUAGUUAGUUGGUGAGGUAACGGCUCACCAAGGCGAUGACGGGUAGCCGGUCUGAGAGGAUGUCCGGCCACACUGGAACUGAGACAGGGUCCAGACACCUACGGGUGGCAGCAGUCGAGAAUCAUUCACAAUGGGGGAAACCCUGAUGGUGCGACGCCGCGUGGGGGAAUGAAGGUCUUCGGAUUGUAAACCCCUGUCAUGUGGGAGCAAAUUAAAAAGAUAGUACCACAAGAGGAAGAGACGGCUAACUCUGUGCCAGCAGCCGCGGUAAUACAGAGGUCUCAAGCGUUGUUCGGAAUCACUGGGCGUAAAGCGUGCGUAGGCUGUUUCGUAAGUCGUGUGUGAAAGGCGCGGGCUCAACCCGCGGACGGCACAUGAUACUGCGAGACUAGAGUAAUGGAGGGGGAACCGGAAUUCACGGUGUAGCA
rnacentral:rRNA from 1 species